GAGUUCACACUUACACGUGAUCAGAAAGAGUAAAGGUUAAUUGGCGUGUUUAAACAUAUUCGAGUUCGUUUAGUGUUCUAGUCUCGUAACUAAUGAAUCACUUCAUUCGGUCUCGGUGUGAAUGGGUCUAGAUAAUGCUCAUUAACGAAAAUGCUUCACAGCAGCACGUGACAGCACAAGGGCUGCAGACACACUCGCCGGUUACCGUCAGCAGCGCGUGACCGGUGACAGCAGCAGCGGGACGCGCGUGCGCGUGCGGGAAUAUUCGGUCCCGUUAUCUCACCCUCAGCGAACCGAACACACGCAAGCUCGAGAACACACCCGGUCAGAGCGGCGGGAACGGAUCGAUCCACGCGCGAUGAGCGGCGGCGUGUACGGCGGAGAUGAAGUGGGCGCUCUGGUGUUUGACAUCGGCUCCUUCUCCACUAGAGCAGGAUACGCAGGAGAGGACUGUCCGAAGGCAGAUUUCCCCACCACCAUAGGAGUGAAUGCUGAGAGGAGGGGCCAGCUGACAUGGGGGCGGAGCAAGAGAUCAACAGUGGGAGGAGUUUAUUACACUAGAUAACCACAGCCCUGCAUGUGCC